rnacentral:lncRNA from 1 species
CUAUUCUCCAAGGUUAAAAGACAAGGAAAAAAGAAAGAAGAAAAGCUGGGACUGAAUCAUACUUUUCAGACCUGGGUAUAGCUUUUCCUUUUUGAGGAACGAAUCUACCUCCUCUGGUAUACAAGGGAAAAGAGCCAGUUGUCAAUGCAAGAAGACAACUGUCUUCUUUACCUCAUCAUGAAACCCAGAGGGCCGUUUGUAACACAGAAGCUGGUAGAGGAUACUUUGGAGUUUAUUUCACCCUUAUUUUGCCG